AUCAAGGCUGAGGCGUGAUGACGAGGCACUACGGUGCUGAAGCAACAAAUGCCCUGCUUCCAGGAAAAGCCUCUAAGCAUCAGGUAACAUCAAAUCGUACCCCAAACCGACACAGGUGGUCAGGUAGAGAAUACCAAGGCGCUUGAGAGAACUCGGGUGAAGGAACUAGGCAAAAUGGUGCCGUAACUUCGGGAGAAGGCACGCUGAUAUGUAGGUGAAGCGACUUGCUCGUGGAGCUGAAAUCAGUCGAAGAUACCAGCUGGCUGCAACUGUUUAUUAAAAACACAGCACUGUGCAAACACGAAAGUGGACGUAUACGGUGUGACGCCUGCCCGGUGCCGGAAGGUUAAUUGAUGGGGUUAGCGGUAACGCGAAGCUCUUGAUCGAAGCCCCGGUAAACGGCGGCCGUAACUAUAACGGUCCUAAGGUAGCGAAAUUCCUUGUCGGGUAAGUUCCGACCUGCACGAAUGGCGUAAUGAUGGCCAGGCUGUCUCCACCCGAGACUCAGUGAAAUUGAACUCGCUGUGAAGAUGCAGUGUACCCGCGGCAAGACGGAAAGACCCCGUGAACCUUUACUAUAGCUUGACACUGAACAUUGAGCCUUGAUGUGUAGGAUAGGUGGGAGGCUUUGAAGUGUGGACGCCAGUCUGCAUGGAGCCGGCCUUGAAAUACCACCCUUUAAUGUUUGAUGUUCUAACGUUGGCCCCUGAUCGGGGUUGCGGACAGUGUCUGGUGGGUAGUUUGACUGGGGCGGUCUCCUCCUAAAGAGUAACGGAGGAGCACGAAGGUUGGCUAAUCCUGGUCGGACAUCAGGAGGUUAGUGCAAUGGCAUAAGCCAGCUUGACUGCGAGCGUGACGGCGCGAGCAGGUGCGAAAGCAGGUCAUAGUGAUCCGGUGGUUCUGAAUGGAAGGGCCAUCGCUCAACGGAUAAAAGGUACUCCGGGGAUAACAGGCUGAUACCGCCCAAGAGUUCAUAUCGACGGCGGUGUUUGGCACCUCGAUGUCGGCUCAUCACAUCCUGGGGCUGAAGUAGGUCCCAAGGGUAUGGCUGUUCGCCAUUUAAAGUGGUACGCGAGCUGGGUUUAGAACGUCGUGAGACAGUUCGGUCCCUAUCUGCCGUGGGCGCUGGAGAACUGAGGGGGGCUGCUCCUAGUACGAGAGGACCGGAGUGGACGCAUCACUGGUGUUCGGGUUGUCAUGCCAAUGGCACUGCCCGGUAGCUAAAUGCGGAAGAGAUAAGUGCUGAAAGCAUCUAAGCACGAAACUUGCCCCGAGAUGAGUUCUCCCUGAGACUUAGAGUCUCCUGAAGGAACGUUGAAGACGACGACGUUGAUAGGCCGGGUGUGUAAGCGCAGCGAUGCGUUGAGCUAACCGGUACUAAUGAACCGUGAGGCUUAACCUUACAACGCCG
rnacentral:rRNA from 1 species